rnacentral:rRNA from 1 species
GACGAACGCUGGCGGCGUGCUUAACACAUGCAAGUCGAACGGAAAGGCCCUGCUUUUGUGGGGUGCUCGAGUGGCGAACGGGUGAGUAACACGUGAGUAACCUGCCCUUGACUGUGGGAUAACUUCAGGAAACUGGGGCUAAUACCGGAUAGGAGCUCCUGCUGUAUGGUGGGGGCUGGUAAGUUUCGGCGGUUGGGGAUGGACUCGCGGCUUAUCAGCUUGUUGGUGGGGUAGUGGCUUACCAUGGCUUUGACGGGUAGCCGGCCUGCGAGGGUGACCGGCCACAUUGGGACUGGAAUACGGCCCAGACUCCUACGGGAGGCAGCAGUGGGGAAUAGUGCACAAUAGGCGGAAGCCUGAUGCAGCAACGCCGCGUGCGGGAUGACGGCCUUCGGGUUGUAAACCGCUUUCGCCUGUGACGAAGCGUGAGUGACGGUAAUGGGUAAAGAAGCACCGGCUAACUACGUG